rnacentral:lncRNA from 1 species
AAAGAGUUGGUGAUAGAGACAGAGAGGGCAAGGAAGAAAAGGCAGAGAGAGGGAGAGACAGAGAGGGAAAGAGACAGACUGUGUGUGAGAGUAUGUGUUUGUGUGUGUGUGUGUUUGUGUGUGUUCAUUCCACAACCUGGUAUUUCAUCAGAUAAGGGGUUGCCUUGUUUUCUCGUCUUCCAGAAUCUCUUACAGGAAAUACUUGGACGAUACCAUGGGGAAAAGAAAUCGGGAAUCUACCCACGACUCGGUCCAGGAGCAGUGGAAGAGCCUCUUCCAGAAGGCAAAAGCACUGCUAUUUCGAGAUUCCCCUCAAUGUACUGCACCCUUAUCAGAGAGGAAAAAUGUGUAGGUGUGGGACCUCGAGGUCCAGGAAGAGAGCAUUCCUGCAAGGCCAAAAUCGGAAGGAAAAACCAUUGUGGCCCCAUCCUCAGUGAGGAGUUUGGCUUCUGAGGCUCCUAUGCUAAUAGUCAUAGUCUCAUUUUGAAUUAUUACCCUUUACUGCUUGGUUGCCUCAUUCAAGUACAAUUUUUUCAGAGUUUCAGCCCUUUACAGCUUCCCAUUGCCACUCUUCAUUUUUCAAAGAAUUAUUUUCAUCUUGAGACUCCUUUCCUCCUUUGCAAGUUGGUUUACUUUUUUUUCUUUUGAUUUUCAUUUUUCUUGGAAGCAUUUUUUUUUGGUUACAUUUUUCUCAAUUUCUUUUGAUUUUAAAUUCUUCUUUGAGUUCUACACAUUUCCUUUGCUUUUGCAGCCACUGCACAUGACUCUUUAAGAUGCUUGGAGAAAGAAUGGCCCCCACCCACUCUCUGUGCAAGUCCUGAUGUGUUGUAUACGAAAUGACGAUAUUGGUUGGUGGAGGCAGAGGGGCAGGAAGAAAAGUGGAGAGAGAUGGCUGGCUGGGUUCUGCUCUGGUGGCUUCUGGUCUGGCUGGCUUCUUGAGGCAGCUGCUGACAUUGCUAAUCUUCCUUUACUUCCAAUUCUUCACUUCCAAUCCUUUUUCACCUCCACUGAGAAUAAAGAUUGAAGAUUUUCC